GACAGAGGGGGAGAGCGUUGUCCGGAGUCACUGGGCGUAAAGCGCGCGCAGGCGGCAACCUCAGUGUCGUGUGAAAGCCCCCGGCUCAACCGGGGGAGGCCAUGGCAAACUGGGUAGCUCGAGCUGCGGAGAGGCCCCUCGAAUUGCCGGUGUAGCGGUGAAAUGCGUAGAGAUCGGCAGGAAGACCAAUGGGGAAGCCAGGGGGCUGGGCGCAGGCUGACGCUGAGGCGCGACAGCGUGGGGAGCAAACCGG
rnacentral:rRNA from 1 species